rnacentral:lncRNA from 1 species
GAAUUGAGUCAUCCCAAAGGACACAUAUUUAUCAAAACAACAUAGUAAAAUCACAGUUGAGUGCUAGAGGAAGAUAGCAGCUACCUGGUGAAUUAGUUGAAUUCUAAACCAACUGAGACAAUAUAGUUAAUUGGUAUGGAACCAUGGAAGCUACCAUAAUAGCUUUGUGCAGACUAAUCAACACAACUCAACAACACGAGUGAUAAAGUGUAUGUAAACCUUACCCCCACACUCAAGAUGUAGAAAGGUUGUUUCCAGUAGACUUGUUGCAGACCUGAUCAAGACAAGAUAGUAAAGUGCACGCUAGAAGGAAAUAAAGCACAGAAGCAAAGUUGACCAGAAUCUUGGGAGCGAUAUAGAAGGCAGCAAAUACAAAACACAGGUAGUAACCUAGCAUCUUAACUACUAUUUGAUGGCUUAAAGCAAACUGGGGAAGGAGAGGAAAGGGGACUCUUUCAAAUCCAGAACAAAAAGAACGCGAUUUGGUCCAUAAAGUAGUCUAAUCAUCUUGUCGUCAAAAUGCUAGGCAUGCUAGAACCAACACAAAUAGCUUAUUUAGAGUCUGUCGAGAUACAUAAUUAAUUUUCUAUCCAGUGAAGAUACAUAAUUAGUUUGAAUUUUUGUAAUUACUUUGUAAGCGUGAUAAUUUCUGUAAAUAUGUUAAAAGUUAAGGUGUACCCUGUAUGUUUAUGUUAUUUUUCCUGUUUUUUAUGAUUAUGUACUGGCUACAUGUAAAAUAACAUAGAAUCCACGUAUGCUUGAUAAUGGCUGGAAAUCCAUCGUAGCAUAAAUAGUGCUUAAGGAAAGGCAGAUAACUUGAUAAGUAAUAAAGAUUUGGUUCAAGUGUAAACACAAACCAACCAUAGAUUGAAGUUCACAAAAGAUAAUCCCAAAGUUUAUGGUGAUACAAUAUGAAAAACGAUUUUCUUGAGUCGAUGACUUUACUGAAAACGUCCUCUCUGAACUCAUUUAUGAAUUAUACUGGAUAUGUUAUUGUCGAGUUCCAAUUUGAGUAUCACUCCCAUUUAUCUUUUAAUGAGUCCUUGACAUGCAAUACAAAAGACAAAUGGUCUAAUGGGUUGGCCUAAAGGUGUGGGACAAAACCCCAGCAAGAAAAUCUAGUGAUAUUUUAUUUUUAUUUUUUGAAACCCCAGGAUAACCGGCAAUCACUACAAUCUCGGUCACACCCUCUGCACUUUGGGUGAGCACUUUGUGCCCAUUGGGUACCCCCACUAUGUAAUAGUCUGCAAACCACACAGGGGAUGUAAACCGCACUAGGCAAGUCCUGUGCGACGGGCUAGACACAGAAGGCAUCGACGGGAGACCGAUCCCUGGUCAUCCGUGUGGAUAACCACCCUCCAAACGAAUUGAGUCAUCCCAAAGGACACAUAUUUAUCAAAACAACAUAGUAAAAUCACAGUUGAGUGCUAGAGGAAGAUAGCAGCUACCUGGUGAAUUAGUUGAAUUCUAAACCAACUGAGACAAUAUAGUUAAUUGGUAUGGAACCAUGGAAGCUACCAUAAUAGCUUUGUGCAGACUAAUCAACACAACUCAACAACACGAGUGAUAAAGUGUAUGUAAACCUUACCCCCACACUCAAGAUGUAGAAAGGUUGUUUCCAGUAGACUUGUUGCAGACCUGAUCAAGACAAGAUAGUAAAGUGCACGCUAGAAGGAAAUAAAGCACAGAAGCAAAGUUGACCAGAAUCUUGGGAGCGAUAUAGAAGGCAGCAAAUACAAAACACAGGUAGUAACCUAGCAUCUUAACUACUAUUUGAUGGCUUAAAGCAAACUGGGGAAGGAGAGGAAAGGG